rnacentral:rRNA from 1 species
CAGACGGGUGAGUAAUGCUUGGGAAUCUGGCUUAUGGAGGGGGAUAACUACGGGAAACUGUAGCUAAUACCGCGUAAUAUCUUCGGAUUAAAGGGUGGGACUUUCGGGCCACCUGCCAUAAGAUGAGCCCAAGUGGGAUUAGGUAGUUGGUGGGGUAAAGGCCUACCAAGCCGACGAUCUCUAGCUGGUCUGAGAGGAUGACCAGCCACACUGGAACUGAGACACGGUCCAGACUCCUACGGGAGGCAGCAGUGGGGAAUAUUGCACAAUGGGGGGGACCCUGAUGCAGCCAUGCCGCGUGAAUGAAGAAGGCCUUCGGGUUGUAAAGUUCUUUCGGUGAUGAGGAAGGUGUUUGUUUUAAUAGAACAAGCAAUUGACGUUAGUCACAGAAGAAGCACCGGCUAACUCCGUGCCAGCAGCCGCGGUAAUACGGAGGGUGCGAGCGUUAAUCGGAAUGACUGGGCGUAAAGGGCACGCAGGCGGUGACUUAAGUGAGAUGUGAAAGCCCCGAGCUUAACUUGGGAAUUGCAUUUCAUACUGGGUCGCUAGAGUAUUUUAGGGAGGGGUAGAAUUCCACGUGUAGCGGUGAAAUGCGUAGAGAUGUGGAGGAAUACCGAAGGCGAAGGCAGCCCCUUGGGAAUAUACUGACGCUCAUGUGCGAAAGCGUGGGGAGCAAACAGGAUUAGAUACCCUGGUAGUCCACGCUGUAAACGCUGUCGAUUUGGGGAUUGGGCUUAGAGCUUGGUGCCCGUAGCUAACGUGAUAAAUCGACCGCCUGGGGAGUACGGCCG